UAGAACGGGCCAACGAGUUACGUUAAGUAGCAAGGUUAAGCACUUAAGGUGUGGAGCCGUAGCGAAAGCGAGUUUUAACUGAGCGUUCAGUUACUUGACGUAGACCCGAAACCGGGCGACCUACCCAUGAGCAGGAUGAAGCGAAAGUAAAAUUUCGUGGAGGUCCGAACCCACGAGCGUUGAAAAGCUCGGGGAUGACUUGUGGGUAGCGGUGAAAUUCCAAUCGAGCCCGGAGAUAGCUGGUUCUCCCCGAAAUAGCUUUAGGGCUAGCCUCAAGGUGAGAGAUACGGAGGUAGAGCACUGAAUGUCCUAGGGGGUAUUGCACCUACCGAAGACUAUCAAACUCCGAAU
rnacentral:rRNA from 1 species